GAUGAACGCUGGCGGCGUGCCUAAUACAUGCAAGUCGAGCGAACGGACGAGAAGCUUGCUUCUCUGAUGUUAGCGGCGGACGGGUGAGUAACACGUGGAUAACCUACCUAUAAGACUGGGAUAACUUCGGGAAACCGGAGCUAAUACCGGAUGAUAUUUUGAACCGAAUGGUUCAAAAGUGAAAGACGGACUUGCUGUCACUUAUAGAUGGAUCCGCGCUGCAUUAGCUAGUUGGUAAGGUAACGGCUUACCAAGGCAACGAUGCAUAGCCGACCUGAGAGGGUGGAUGGACACACUGGAACUGAGACACGGUCCCGACUCCGACGGGAGGCAGCAGUAGGGAAUCUUCCGCGAUGGGCGAAAGCCUGACGGAGCAACGCCGCGUGAGUGAUGAUGGUCUUCGGAUCGUAAAACUCUGUUAUUAGGGAAGAUCAUAUGUGUAAGUAACUGUGCACAUCUUGACGGUACCUAAUCAGAAAGCCACGGCUAACUACGUG
rnacentral:rRNA from 1 species